UGUAAGCAUUGUUCUAGUGGGUGUGAGGCAAGCAUUGUUCUAGAGAAUGUAAGCAUGAUUCCAAAAUGAAGUUAAGCAUACCAGUAUUUACUUCAAUGACCAUCAGCUAAGAUUUAUCAAAUGUGAACAGAAUUUUUUACUAAGAAGUGUAACCAUGAUUUUUCUACACAGUGUAAUCAUGAUUACUUUUAUUGAGUGUAAGCAUGAUAAGCUAACUGCAAGAAGUGUAAUAACUCUGUUAAGCGUAAGCAUGAUUUCUUUAGUGAGAAAAAAGCAUAUUAAAUCAAUUGGAGCUGAUAAAAUGUCAUCUUUCAAUAUUGGACGGUACCAUUAUGAGUGUUACAUGUAUAAUGUGUUGCGACAGCUCAGAAACUAACAUUAAAUGUACUGAUAUGCUUGAUACACUGUUUCUAUCCUUUUCGUGCCUUUGCUUGUUGUUCCUUGGUGUGCUUGGCCAUUUCUUCUAAUAUAAAUUUUGAACCAUUCAAAUUUUUAGUGCCAUGUUACAAACGAGUUAAACAAGUGGACAGCCAUAAAGAGGAACAAGAAAAAGUGAUAGAGGCAGACGAUGAAGAUGGGGGAUGGGUAGAUACGCAUCAUUUCCCAGAUCCUGGUACAACAUCACUACAGGACGCUGUACAGGAAAUGACCUUGGAUGGCAAGGGCAAGGACAGGAAAUCAUCAUCUGAGGAAGUGAAGAGAUCAGGUGACGAUGAUGAUGAUGAUGACGAUGAUGAUGAGGAAGCGAUGGACAUGGAAGCGUUUGAACAGAGUGGAAUGUUAGAUGAGGAAGAUGAUGUUAAGGAUGGUUAGCCAUUCUUACUACCCUGAGGCUGCCUUAGACCCCUCCACCCUUGGUCGACAAGAUUCGGAGAGUGCGGCCACAGAGAGUGGGAUUCUACAAACACGGACCUAUGAUCUCAACAUCACAUACGACAAGUACUACCAGACGCCGCGCCUCUGGCUGUUUGGAUACGAUGAGAACCGUAAACCCCUCACUGUAGAACAGAUGUAUGAAGACUUUAGUCAAGACCACGCCAAGAAAACUGUCACCAUGGAGGCCCACCCUCACCUCCCUGGGCCCCCUUUGGCAUCGGUCCACCCCUGCAGACAUGCUGAUGUGAUGAAGAAGAUUAUACAGAUGGUGGCAGAGGGAGGAGGAGAUCUUGGGGUUCAUGUCUAUCUGAUGAUUUUUCUGAAGUUUGUACAGGCAGUGAUUCCAACAAUAGAGUACGACUUCACCCGAGACUUCACCAUGUGACCUGGGUCCAUCACAUGACCAUCAUGUGACUUUUUCAAACAAGCAAUGCCAUAUUUUGUCAUUUACUUUCUGUGACCAGUGGAUUCCAUUGAUUACUGUUAACUUCUGAUGGAGUGGGACAGGAUUGUGUUAAUUUAUUGUUACUUGUACAGUGCUCUUGUGACUGUUGAAUGUUAAUAUUAUUGUGUUCCGAUGUAUAAUGUAACUACAUACAGCAAGACUGGUCUGCUAUCGUUUACAUGUGUAAGCACCUCACAAGUCAUAAUAAAUUCAUUGAAC
rnacentral:misc_RNA from 1 species